CGGGUGAGUAACACGUGGGUAAUCUGCCUUUUAGUGGGGAAUAACUUCGGGAAACCGGAGCUAAUGCCGCAUACGUAAGCAAUUAGAAAGGGGGCGUCCGCAAGGAGCUCUCGCUGAAAGAAGAGCCCGCGCCGUAUUAGCUAGUUGGUAGUGUAAUGGACUACCAAGGCAACGAUACGUAUCCGGUCUGAGAGGAUGAUCGGACACACUGGAACUGAGACACGGUCCAGACUCC
rnacentral:rRNA from 1 species